GCACUACAGACGAGUGUCAAACAGGACGAAACAGUUGUCCAGUGC
rfam:Echinostoma caproni strain Egypt genome assembly, scaffold: ECPE_scaffold0007603